GGUCAGGACGAACGCUGGCGGCGUGCCUAACACAUGCAAGUCGAGCGGAGUCAGUAAGAGGAAGUUUCGGAUGGAAUCUGUUGAUUAGCGGCGGACGGGUGAGUAACGCGUGAGCGACCAACCUUGCACAGGGGGAUAACGGACCGAAAGGUUCACUAAUACCGCAUGAGACCACGGUGUUGCAUGACACAGAGGUCAAAGGAGCAAUCCGGUGCAAGACGGGCUCGCGUCCGAUUAGGUAGUUGGAGGGGUAACGGCCCACCAAGCCUAUGAUCGGUAGCCGACCUGAGAGGGUGAUCGGCCACAUUGGAACUGAGAUACGGUCCAAACUCCUACGGGAGGCAGCAGUGGGGAAUAUUGGGCAAUGGGGGGAAACCCUGACCCAGCAACGCCGCGUGAAGGAAGAAGGUUUUCGGAUUGUAAACUUCUGUCCUUGGUGAAGAGAAGAAGACGGUAGCCAAGGAGGAAGCCCCGGCUAACUACGUGCCAGCCGCAGC
rnacentral:rRNA from 1 species